UAGAGAUUAUCUUGACGACAUUUGACAUAUGGUUGUUAUAGAGUCUCUACGUCCUGUCUCUUCUCUCUAUAGCAGCCAUAUGUCAAAUGUCGUCAAGAUAAGUCCUG
rnacentral:pre_miRNA from 1 species